rnacentral:rRNA from 1 species
CAUUGCCGGAUGCUUACCAUGCAGUCGAACGGACGUGUAGCUUCGGUUACACGUUAGUGGCAGACGGGUGAGUAACGCGUGGGAACGUGCCUUUUGGUCUUGGAUAACGUUUGGAAACGAACGCUAAUACAGGAUAUACCCUGAGGGGGAAAGAUUUAUUGCCAAGAGAGCGGCCCGCGUUAGAUUAGGUAGUUGGUGGGGUAAAGGCCUACCAAGCCUACGAUCUAUAGCUGGUCUGAGAGGAUGAUCAGCCACACUGGGACUGAGACACGGCCCAGACUCCUACGGGAGGCAGCAGUGAGGAAUAUUGGACAAUGGGGGAAACCCUGAUCCAGCAAUACCGCGUGAGUGAUGAAGGCCUUCGGGUUGUAAAGCUCUUUUCUUGGGGACGAUAAUGACGGUACCCGAGGAAUAAGCUCCGGCUAACUUCGUGCCAGCAGCCGCGGUAAUACGAAGGGAGCUAGCGUUGUUCGGAAUUACUGGGCGUAAAGGGCGCGUAGGUGGUUUGGAAAGUUAGAUGUGAAAGCCCCGGGCUUAACCUGGGAACUGCAUUUAAGACUUCCAAACUAGAGUCCGAGAGGGGAAUGUGGAAUUGCAAGUGUAGAGGUGAAAUUCGUAGAUAUUUGCAGGAACACCAAUGGCGAAGGCAG